GCGGGGGUGGCGCGGCCCCGGGCGAGCAGGCGGCGUCGGCGGGGGUGUCGGUCCGCAGGGCUCCACGAUGUCGAAGGUUUCCUUUAAGAUCACGCUGACGUCGGACCCGCGGCUGCCUUACAAAGUACUUAGUGUUCCUGAAAGUACACCUUUCACAGCAGUCUUAAAGUUUGCAGCAGAAGAAUUUAAAGUUCCUGCAGCAACAAGUGCAAUUAUUACCAAUGAUGGAAUAGGAAUAAAUCCUGCACAGACUGCUGGAAAUGUUUUCCUAAAGCAUGGUUCAGAACUUCGAAUUAUUCCUAGAGAUCGUGUUGGAAGUUGUUAAUAUCUGCUGCUUGGAACAUAGGAUGACCUUUCCAAAUAAAUAUUGGUAUUGUUGUAAAACUGAAAUCAGGCAUUUAAAACUUUGAAAAGACCAGUAGCUGAUGAAAUAAUGAAGGGUGGCUCUGUCCCUUCUUGUUAUUCACACUCUUCCUGUGACAAGGGAAUGUUUAUGCACAAAGGGUACCAUCUCCACAGAAGAUCAUAGUCUGUCAUUGCUACCUCACAACACGUAACAGAUGCAACUACAAGAUUGGUAAUCUUCUAACCAGACUAUUGCCCAUAAGCCCUCCGAGAUAGAAAUUCUGGAACCACCCUAUGAUAAUACUGGAGAUAGAUAAAUCAUUAUUUAAAUCAGGCUAUGUAAUUAAACCAUUCUUCCAAAUUGCUUAAGCCAGGUAUUUGGAACUCACUAGAUUUUAUUCCUUUCUUUUGCCAUAGCAAACCCAUCACAAGAUUCUUUUUUGAUUGCAUUUAUGAAAUCUGUCUCAAGAUCUACUAUAAUUAAAGCUCUCAAAAAAAAAAAAAAAGCUCUCAUCCUCUCAUAAAUGAUGUUGGAAAAGCUUCUAGUCCCUCUGUUCCCUCUUUCACACUACUGUAAUGGGGUUUUUGGCAUGGAAAUACGAUUGUGUAGUUCCACUAGUCGAAAUCCUACUGAAUAAAAAUCUAUAUGUGACCUGUUAGACACUUCAUGAACUGUUCAGUCAGCUGUUACCACGACUUUCUCACAGUUUCCUUCUCUGAUUUGCACUGCAGCUAUACUGAACUACAAAUAUUUAUUAUCUCUCUUGUGCCAUGGUCUCACACCUCUAUGCCUUUAUGUUCUACAGUGGUCUUUCCUGAGAAACCUAGGAUUGAUUCUUCAAGUUUAAAAGCCAUGGAGCCUUUCCUCACUCCUCCCAAGCAGAGCUAGAUGUUUAACUCUCUAAGAAACCAUUGCAAUUCGUACAUUACCCCAUUGUAGCAAUUGUUAAAUGCAGAGUCUCAUAUUUGUCUCUGAUUUAAAGUAUAGAUUUUAUAAAAGCAUAAGAUUGUGACUAAAACAGGAUUUCCAAAUUGCCUUGCAUGUAAUAGGUAACAAGUACUUUGAUCAAAAGACUACAUAAGAGGAUAAAAACUUUGAAAAUUGCAACAAUUUGUAGCUCAUGCCUAAUAACUUCUGCUAGAAUAUGUGGUUAAUGAAUAUAUUCCUCACCAUUUCUUGUAGUUGAGAAUUUAGUCUGACUUAAAUGAAUUAAUCACUUUUAAAAUUGAAAAGCAGUCUCCUAUUUUUAACAUAUAUUAAUUAUUAGCUAUAUCAUGGGAAUUGCUAAAUGCUGGAGAUGAAAUAAAAUUAAGACUCAUUUCUUUGGGUCCCCAAAAUUUACCCAUUUCAGAAACCACAAAAUCCACAUAGCUAUAUGGGAAAUGAAGAUGUUUUUUACCAAGACCUUUUUAAUGUGCUGGGCACAGUGCUAGGCACUUCACAAGUAUGAUCUCUAAUCCUUAAUCUCUGUGCAAAAUGCUGGUAUUAAUUUUUUCUUUAAUGUUAAACAGCCAAGAUUUAGGUUAAUGUGUCCAAAGUUAGAAUGAGAUCGGCUCCUAGGGCUAUAUGAUUAUAAACUCUACCCUGCAAAUCAUUACAUGCUUGCUAUAAUUUUCCUAGAAUUAUAUUGAAAUAUUUUUCCAAACUGAAAAAGGGUACUUCAAACCUUGCUUUUUGAACAUUUCUGUGAUCUCACUUGGCUUGAGAAAUUUAACAUUCAUUAAUCUGUAUAGACGCACUUAGGCUCUUUUUCAGUAUAUAUACAACAAAAAGAAUUGUGAGCAUCCGAAAAGAGGCUCUAUUAUCUGCUUUGCUUUAUAGAGGGUGUUGUGGUAAUUGUCUGGAUGCGAAACAGCGGCCAAGAUUGGCAGACAAACCGGCAUAAAUCUCUGAUUUUCUGGCAAAACUCGUUAGCAAUGUAAAAGCUGUUAUUGAGAGCAUAUUGUGAUGAUGCAUCAUGUCAAUAUUUGUUUGGCUGUGUAACACUGGAUUUAAUAAAUUCUUAAAUGUACAAUUUACAGCUGAUGAGCUGUUUUAGAAAUAAACUGUGGUAUGUGUUGUCAGUGCCACAAACAUUU